rnacentral:lncRNA from 1 species
UCAAAAUAAUCACAUUAUUAUAGGAUAAAUAGGAUAUUGAAUGAAUCAAUUGCUAACAUUACUAAAUUGUAUAGCAUGAUAACCAAACAUGAUUUAUAUUUAUUUUACAAACUGUGACAAACCAUAUGUACCCACACUCCACCAUGUAUCAGCAUGUUAACUAUCCCUUUGCACACAUAUUAACUCAAUUGAAUUUUAAAACAAAAACAACUCCAUUAAAUGCGGCAUAUUCUAUUUUUUCAAUUGAAAACCAAUUAAUAAGGAAAAUGAUUUCUAUAAAAACUUAAAGAUUAAUAGUCAUUACACUUGGUGGAUUCAACCGUUGCGAUUUUGAAUCAAAUUGUAUUUACUUUUAAAAUUAUCAUCCCAAUAGUUACAUCCAAAACAUUUCCUUCCAUGAAUACAUUUUAUUAAAAUAAAAUUCAAGUGAAUUGGAAUAAAACUAAACUUAAGAACAAAAAAUCAACUCGGGAUUUAUUUAACUCUAAUUUUUUCAAAAAAAAUGCAAAGAUAGUUUGUCAAUAAUAUUGAAGCUUAUUUUUUUUAUGGCACUCAAACAACAACCAGUAGUAGUGACUCCUGCAAGUGAUCCAGAACUUAAACUUUAAAUCUAAUGUUACUCUAUCUUAAGCUGCCGAUUCAUUAUAACCACAAUAUACAAAUUGUUAUCACAAUACAACAGCAACAUAAAUCGUUACAUAUUAACAUUGCAAUCAAUUCGGCAUAUGCAACGCAUAAUCAAAGCAACGCAGGGUCGAAUCUCACCGAAUCGGAACUAAAUCAAACCAACAAAUCUCAUAAAUUCGACAGCACAAUGAAAUUGAAGCAAAACAUAAUCCAACUCGAAAUCAUAGAUGGCAAAUGAAAUUAAAGAGAAAAAAUUAAGCAGCAAGUCAUCCUUUUCUUACAGAACUCAUUGACAGCACAAUCAGCCAUAUUAAUAACAACACAAUUCAGCUCAGAUUUGAACAAUGAAUUCGGCGGUCCUAAAUAUAAAAUCAUGAACCAUUGACUGAUAGCUUAACCACACAAUUUCCUGUUUUUUCUACUUAAACUGUACAGAAACUAAUUAACCCAAAAGUUGGAAUAAGCCUGUCAAAAAAACUUCAAACUACGAAUCAUAACAACAGCCAGCAAUUACUACACACAAUACAUCAUUGGUUUAACUAAAAAAAAAUACAGAAUGCUGUAAACAGGCAAAACUUUUGAUGAGUUCAGAUUAUUACCAACAUAAAUGACGAUAACCAACCGCUGCUUUUGAGGUAUGACGGAAUUUGAACCGAAAAUGGGUCGGUUUGAAAGCAGGACCAAAAGAGUACCCCUCGUUUACAUCCGAACAGCAGAUUUUGUUGUUUUUCUGUCAGCGGCUUGCUCGAACUUCCUGCUAAUCUUUUAAAUCGACUUCGGCAUCCAAAAGCUUCCUUAGUCAGAUUUACCGCUACCGAUACCGAUUUCAAAACCCCACUUCAGUAGUCUUGACUCCAAAUUGUGACGGCGAGGGUUUUGUGGAUUGCGGAGGGAGAGAACAAUGGUGGAGAUAAUGACGAUGAGGGUUUCGGAUGGUGGUGGCCGGAAUCGAGUGAGGUUUGAGGGACGGUGAGGCGAGUUUUGAAGAUGAAAUGAACGACGGCUGUAGGGUUUCGCGAUUGUUCGUCGGAAAGGAGAAGAGGAGUUGUUGUGAGAUUGAAGGGUGGCCGUGGCUUCGUGGAGAAUAUGAAGAGCGAUGGUUGAGAGAAUAUGGCGUUUCCGGCGGUGAUUUUCAGUGAGGGUUUCGGGGAUGAGAGGGAUUUGAGAGUUAGACUGAAGAGGAAAGGAUUUUAGCGUGAGAUGUGAAGGUGAGCGAGAUGAUGAAGGGCGAUUGAGGGUUUUUGGAGAGUGAAGAGAUUUUUUGUGAUUGUCUGAGAGAUUGUCAGUGAGGAGUGAAUGGUGAGAGAGGUUAUAUGAUAGCUGUUAUUAAUAAUGAGAGAGUGAUGUGAAGAGAAUGAGGGUAACGUGUGAGUGUGGAGAGAGAGAUGAUGGAGAGUGAUUUUGGGAGUGGGCUCUAGGUAGCAGGGAAAGAGAGUCUAUGUAUGUGAGUGGAGAGAAAACGUGUGAUGAGGGAAGAAAAAGAUAUAUUUUUGAUAUCCUUUUGUGGGUUGUCAAAGAAUCCAAUGCUAAAACUU